GAAAUGCGAUAAGUAAUGUGAAUUGCAGAAUUCAGUGAAUCAUCGAAUCUUUGAACGCACCUUGCGCUCCUUGGUAUUCCUUGGAGCAUGCCUGUUUGAGUAUCAUGAAAUCUUCAAAGUAAAUCUUUUGUUAACUCAAUUGGUUUCUACUUUGGUAUUGGAGGUCUUUGCAGCUUCACACCUGCUCCUCUUUGUUCAUUAGCUGAUCUCAGUGUUAUGCUUGGUUCCACUCGGCGUGAUAAGUUAUCUAUCGCUGAGGACACUGUAAAAGGUGGCCAAGGUAAAUGCAGAUGAACCGCUUCUAAUAGUCCAUUGACUUGGACAAUACUUUUAUGAUCUGAUCUCAAAUCAGGUAGGACUACCCGCUGAACUUAAGC
rnacentral:misc_RNA from 1 species